AGAGUUUGAUCCUGGCUCAGGAUGAACGCUAGCUACAGGCUUAACACAUGCAAGUCGAGGGGAAACGACAUUGAAAGCUUGCUUUCGAUGGGCGUCGACCGGCGCACGGGUGAGUAACGCGUAUCCAACCUGCCCAUCACUUGGGGAUAACCUUGCGAAAGUAAGACUAAUACCCAAUGACGUCUCUAGAAGACAUCUGAAAGAGAUUAAAGAUUUAUCGGUGAUGGAUGGGGAUGCGUCUGAUUAGCUUGUUGGCGGGGUAACGGCCCACCAAGGCUACGAUCAGUAGGGGUUCUGAGAGGAAGGUCCCCCACAUUGGAACUGAGACACGGUCCAAACUCCUACGGGAGGCAGCAGUGAGGAAUAUUGGUCAAUGGACGAGAGUCUGAACCAGCCAAGUAGCGUGCAGGAUGACGGCCCUAUGGGUUGUAAACUGCUUUUAUAAGGGAAUAAAGUGAGUCUCGUGAGACUUUUUGCAUGUACCUUAUGAAUAAGGACCGGCUAAUUCCGUGCCAGCAGCCGCGGUAAUACGGAAGGUCCGGGCGUUAUCCGGAUUUAUUGGGUUUAAAGGGAGCGUAGGCCGGAGAUUAAGCGUGUUGUGAAAUGUAGAUGCUCAACAUCUGCACUGCAGCGCGAACUGGUUUCCUUGAGUACGCACAAAGUGGGCGGAAUUCGUGGUGUAGCGGUGAAAUGCUUAGAUAUCACGAAGAACUCCGAUUGCGAAGGCAGCUCACUGGAGCGCAACUGACGCUGAAGCUCGAAAGUGCGGGUAUCGAACAGGAUUAGAUACCCUGGUAGUCCGCACGGUAAACGAUGGAUGCCCGCUGUUGGUCUGAAUAGGUCAGCGGCCAAGCGAAAGCAUUAAGCAUCCCACCUGGGGAGUACGCCGGCAACGGUGA
rnacentral:rRNA from 1 species